UCCUUUGAAAUCCCUUUGUCUCUCAAACACUCUCCAACACUCUAAAACCCAAUCGUCUCCCACCUUAUUCCACCAUGUUGCCAUCAGAAUCCAUGGCUUUUGAGGCCAUAGAUGGCCUAUGAUCACCCUCUCUCAUUAUUAAACCUAAUUUACUCGAGGUUUUGCAGCCUGACUUCAACGGCUCUCUUUAGAUCCUUCUCAGAUCUGCAGAUCAAUGGCUUCCCCGACCAUUAUUCCGGCAUGUUUAAGAAAUAUGAGUCUUUUUGACUCAGGAUCUGACUUUCCUCAAGACCCUUCUCAUUGCUAGGGUUUUCUCUGCAACUCUAAGGGUCUGAGGUUCUACACUUGCUUAUUUUUUCUUAGAUCUGUGACAUGCCUGGGCUUUACUUGACAUUUUAAAGAUUUUCCCCAAAUUUCUUUUUUAAAAUCGUUCACUUUUGUUUUUAGGGUUUCCGAAAAGUUCUUCAAAUAUCUUUCCGAUUCUUUCUGUUCUUUCCCAUGUGUUACCUAUGUUAUGCUCGUAUGCUUUCUUUUCUUCUGUGCUUGAGUUUGCUCUUUAUUUCUCUUCCUAUUAUGAAAGAUUCUUUUAUUUUUGUUGAGUUCUUUGAUUUUGUUCACUUUACUGAACUCUGUUUGCAUUCCUGCUAAGCAAUAUUUUCUCUAUUUUUGUUUAAAACCAGUAUCAUCCCUUUCUUCUGAACUUGUUUAAACUCCAAGUUUUCUCAGACAUGUUAUCAUGACCUUGAAUCAGUUAUUUUCUAUCGUGUAUGUUUGUUUCUCAUAAAGUCUUUGGAAGAGACUUUCUUUGGCAAGUGGUAUUAGGGUUCUACUUUGGGACCCUAGGCUUUCAGACUCAUUAUGAGUCUGUAACUGCACUUGAAUCUCUCUUGCUUGUGACUCCAAGGCUUUCAAUGUUAGGUUCUUUUUUCUAAACCUGACAAUUCUUGCUAUUUGAUUGGUAUGCUUUAUAUAUGAGAAAUUUCUCUUUCGAAAGGUUUUUUUACCAACUAAAUGAAAUAUUCGGAAAUCCCUUGAAUAAGGAAGAUGAAUUGUCACUGAUUUUUCUUCGAUUGAACAUCUUUUAUCUUUCUUGACUUGGUUCACACAUAUUAAACUUGUAAUUUUGCCCUUGCCAUAUUUGGCACAAACCGUGUACUGUUGAUUAUUUUCCUUAAAUAAGUUAUGUGUAUUUACCCCUUUUGUGCUGCUUUGAAAUGUUUUAAUAAAAAACUUCCUUCCUUAACUAGUUUUUACUCAUUGGAAUCAAAAUCCCUUAACCAAAGACAGACUGAUUUCAAUGAUAUUUCUUUUCCUUUCUUAUUUAUUUCUCUGCACUAUAAAAGGGACUGCCCUUCCGCACUUGUAAGACACCUUACAAUUACACCUUACAACUUCAUCUUCACACUUUGAGUUCAAUACCCGACCUUCACACUACCAAUCUUUAAACUUUCAAUUCAGUACUUACAAUAUUGUCCUGAAUUCAAUAUUAUUUCUACAAUCUGCUUUGCUUGAGAGCUUUUGGAACUACUUUGCUUGCAACUUAGCUUCUUGUUUAUCUCAAGACUACUGUUUUAUUUGUUUCCCUUGAAACUCGUAUGUUUUUUAUUUAAUUUUCUGCCUCAUCCCUAUGUGUUUACCUUCCAGUUCCUGCAUUCUUGUUUACUUUACUUCUCAUGUUCAAUGAUUUAUGCUGAGUAUGUUCUUUCCUUGCAUCUUUUUCUAUUGUGAAUCCCUACCCCGAUUCCCUUCUAUGUGUUUGAGUUAAGGUUUUGGGCCUGGCAGUAUCCAAAUUGCUUCCCAAGCCAUAGCCUGAUCCACAAUGGAUCCUAAAUUCUAAGUUUGGCUAACAAGCUAGUCAGGGGUGUGCCUGCAUUCCCAAUUAUUGGGCAUGACCACCAGCCUGCCAUGGCUUUCCCUAUUCCCCCUAUGCACUUACACUUACUCUUAGAUUCUAAGUUCUGUCCCCCUCUUAUGAGCCAUGCUUUGGGAUCCUGAGUUCCCUCUAAACUUGGACAUUUGAGGGCUGACUCUUUCACACCGCACUAUAAUCUAAUUCUGCAAUGUGUUUGGGGUGUAAGCACUGCCCUGAGUCCCUUUGAAACUCUUGGGAACUUUGACACAUCCCAAAUAUGAGAAAGGCUUUUGGAAAACAGAUCCUAGAAGUUGGUUUAUCUCAUAUUAUUGGACUUUGAGUCUGAAUUAGGUUGUUUGGUUGCAGCUGGAAGUUCUGAUGUAUUUUUUAUCCUUCUUGAUUCAUCCGGGUCUGUAAUAAUUUGUAAUAACUAUGGGGUUCUAGUGAAAAAAGGAGAGGGUCAUUUAUGUAUGUAUAUGGGUAGACAACAUGCUCAUAGGGGUUACUAUUUACCAAUUUUGCAUAUCAUAUAGUACUCAUGCCUAUAAGUUAUCUAAUUAUUGCAUUAAAAACCAUGCCUAUAAGUUUCUGCAUAUAGAAAUCAUGUAUAAGUUUCUGCACUUAUGCAUCUGGAGAUCCUUCCUAUAAGUUAUUUCAUUACUGCAUUAGAAACCAUGUCUUUAAGUUUCUACACAUAGAAGUCAUAAUUAUAGUUUUUGUUUCCGCAUUUCUGCAUGUUCAUCUAUCGUUAGGCAAAUAGCUUUAAUAAUAAUCAACGUCAUUCUAGCUACCAUGCCUAUCGAGCUUAUGUACUUACAUAAUCAUUUUAAAAUAAAUAAUGCUUAGAAAUCAUGCCUAUAGGAGCAGCCAUCUGAAUCUGAUUCGUC
rnacentral:lncRNA from 1 species